rnacentral:rRNA from 1 species
AGCAGUCGCCGCGGUAAUACAGAGGGUGCAAGCGUUAAUCGGAAUUACUGGGCGUAAAGCGCGCGUAGGUGGUUGGUUAAGUUGGAUGUGAAAGCCCCGGGCUCAACCUGGGAACUGCAUCCAAAACUGGCAAGCUAGAGUACGGUAGAGGGUGGUGGAAUUUCCUGUGUAGCGGUGAAAUGCGUAGAUAUAGGAAGGAACACCAGUGGCGAAGGCGACCACCUGGACUGAUACUGACACUGAGGUGCGAAAGCGUGGGGAGCAAACAGGAUUAGAUACCCCCGUAGUCCCUGUCUCUUAUAC